ACAGCAGUCCCGCGGGAAUAUGAAGGGUGCAAGCGUUACUCGGAAUUACUGGGCGUAAAGUGUGCGUAGGUGGUGGUUUAAGUCCGUUGUGAAAGCCCUGGGCUCAACCUGGGAAUUGCAGUGGAUACUGGGUCACUAGAGUGUGGUAGAGGAUAGUGGAAUUCCCGGUGUAGCAGUGAAAUGCGUAGAGAUCGGAAGGAACAUCUGUGGCGAAGGCGACUAUCUGGGCCAACACUGACACUGAGGCACGAAAGCGUGGGGAGCAAACAGGAUCAGAUACCCGCGUAGUCCCUGUCUCUUAUACA
rnacentral:rRNA from 1 species